UCCAUGCUACCCGCGGAAGGGGCCCAUACGGCGUUGUUCUGGAUUCCUGUCGUAACUUAAAGGGAAACUUUCACGAUGUCCGGAGCCCUUGAUGUCCUGCAAAUGGAAGAGGAGGAUGUCCUCAAAUUCCUUGCAGCAGGAACCCACUUAGGUGGCACCAACCUUGACUUCCAAAUGGAACAGUACAUCUACAAAAGGAAAACUGAUGGCAUCUACAUUAUAAAUCUGAAGAGGACCUGGGAGAAGCUUCUGUUGGCAGCUCGUGCCAUUGUUGCCAUUGAAAACCCCGCUGAUGUCAGUGUCAUAUCCUCCAGGAAUACUGGCCAGCGAGCUGUGCUGAAGUUUGCUGCUGCCACUGGAGCCACUCCUAUUGCUGGCCGCUUCACUCCUGGAACCUUCACUAACCAGAUCCAGGUAGCAUUCCGGGAGCCGCGUCUUCUGGUGGUUACUGACCCCAGGGCUGACCACCAGCCUCUCAUAGAGGCAUCUUAUGUUAACCUGCCUACCAUUGCUCUGUGUAACACAGAUUCUCCUCUGCGUUAUGUGGAAAUUGCCAUCCCAUGCAACAACAAGGGGGCUCACUCUGUGGGUCUGAUGUGGUGGAUGCUGGCCCGGGAAGUUUUCCGAAUACACGGCACCAUCUCCCGUGAACGCCUGUGGGAGGUCAUGCCUGAUCUCUACUUCUACAGAGAUCCUGAAGAGAUUGAGAAGGAAGAGCAAGCUGCCGCCAAGAAAGCUGUGACAAAAGAGGAAUUUCAGGGUGAAUGGACAGCUCCAGCUCCUGAGUUUACUGCUACUCAGCCCGAGGUUGCAGACUGGUCUGAAAGUGUGCAGGUGCCCUCUGUGCCUAUUCAGCAAUUCCCCACUGAAGACUGGAGCGCUCAGCCUUCCACGGAAGACUGGUCUGCAGCUCCCACUGCUCAGGCCACUGAAUGGGUGGGAACAACCACUGAGUGGUCUUAAGUUCUACAAACUCUUAAAAAUGGAAAUAAGGUUGAUGGAAAAUAAACAUGAGUUUCUAAAAAUUAAAAAAAAAUUAAACUGUACUUAUAAACUGUGUAUGUUAUUCUUAAAUGUGCUUUAUAUCUUUACACAUAAAAAUUAUUUUGACAAAAUCACAGAGGCAAUUCAAUGGAAAAUAGGAGUUCCUGUUUUAACAAAUGGUUCUGGAACAACUGGAUAUCGAUAUGCGAAUAAAAGAACCUCAAUUAAUACCUCCAACAUAUAUAAAGAUGGAUUCAAAAUGAAUCAUAGACCUAAACCUGUAAUAUUAUAUUUCUAGAAGAAAAUAUGGGAGAAAAUCUCUUUACCUUGGGUUGGACAAAUAUUUCUUAGAUGUGACACCAAAAUCCAAAAUAUACUGUUAAGAGAUUGAAAAGAUAAGCUAGAGAACAGAAGAAAAUAUCUGCAAAUCAAAUAUCUAGCAAAGAACUUGCAUUGAGAAUACAUAAGGAACCCUCAAAAACUAAAAAACAGGAGGGGGAAAAAUGGCGGAUUAGGGCUGACCUCUUGACUCUCGGCUCUCAGGGUGAGGGGUAAAGAGGACGGACGACCACACGCAGGCCAUCUGCACCUACUCUGGAGCAGAUUCGCAGGACUGCAAAGAGACACUGGGAUACGGAAAUCUGGACAACAAUUAAAGGUGAACCGAAAUUCUUUCACAAAACCCAGGGAGUUGGAAGUAUAGUAGGGAGGGAGCGCGCCUGCCCGUCAGCCGCCCCACGGGCUGGCCGGAGGAGGCAUCCCUUCUACCCCACACAGGGAGAUGAUCCCUUCCCCGCUGAACUGCCUGAAGUUGAUGGGAGGUGGCAACAUGGGCAGACGAGCGGUUUGGAGGGGAAUCUGAAGCAGGCAGCAUUUUGAAUUCUACACAGCGCCUCACCGAAGCAGUAGGGAGUGCAGGAAGGGUCUGAACCCAGCACCCGCUCCUUAGCCCCGCCGCCCAGCCCCCACAGCUUGGAGACUCCUGCCCGGGAGAUGUUCUCCUUGCUUUCCCUCUGCCCCAAACCAGCUGAACUGUUCCCGCUUCAGGAGAGGACAGCCUAUUGAGCCCACAGCGCCGCUGAAGUGGUAGUGGGUGGGGAGAAGGGCCCAGCCCCCGUGGCUUGGAGACGCCACACAGAUCUGUGCGGGAGGCGUUCACCAGGCUUCCCCAGGGCCCCAAACCAGCUGAACUGUUCCUGCUUCAGGAGAGGGCAGCCUAUCAAGCCCACAGCACCUCUGAAGCGGUAGAGGGUAGGAAGAAGGGCCCAGCUCUGUGCCUGCUCCCCUGCCCAGCUACUCUACUCCCGAGGCUUGGAGAAGCUGUAGAGGACUGCGCUGGAGGAGUUUGCCAGGCAUCUCUACUACCCUAAACCAGACAAACUCUUCGAGCAGCUGGAGAAGGCACCUCUCUGAACCACCAGAACCCCACUGAACCAGUAGCAGGAGAAGAAAGGGUCCAAACCCUGCAGCCACUUCCUAGCACCACCACACUGCCCCGAAGCUUGGAGACACUGCGGGGGACAGCGCUCAAGCAUUUCUCUGGCACCUCUUCUACCCUAAACUGGCUGAUCUGUUCGGGCCUCCGGAGAAGGCAACUUGUUGAGUUCCCAGCCUCCGCUGAAACAGAAGCAAGAGGGAGAAGGUCCGAACCCAGCAGCUGCUUCCCAGCUCCACCGAGCCGCUCCUUAGCAUGAGAACACUGCGGAGGGCUGCCCCAGUAGUAAACUCAGUCUUCCCCUCUGCCCUAACCGGGCAGGUGGCCUUGAAAGCUGAAUUUAUAAGGGUGGAAAGUUGAGAGUGGUGCUUUGUUCGGCAGCUAUCGCAUAAGUCUGCACCUGAGUGGUAUCUUGCUGCACUCAGUGGUUGGCGUUCUGUGCCCAGAGAGUAGAGCCUGUCUUAGCAAGGCAGAGAAGCGAAGGAGGCUGCUAUUUCUGAGGACUCGAAGAACCCUUGGGAGAGACAAUACAUGACCAGAACACAUCCUCCCCUGGUCUUCCAAGGAUCAUUCCUUUGGAACCCAAGUACACAGCUUAUAUUGACUUCCAGCACCUCUGGUCCUCAACAAAGUAUCCAGAUGAGGAAGAACCAGCGAAAAACA